GACGAACGCUGGCGGCGUGCUUAACACAUGCAAGUCGAACGGAAAGGCCCUGCUUUUGUGGGGUGCUCGAGUGGCGAACGGGUGAGUAACACGUGAGUAACCUGCCCUUGACUUUGGGAUAACUUCAGGAAACUGGGGCUAAUACCGGAUAGGAGCUCCUGCUGCGUGGUGGGGGUUGGAAAGCUUCGGCGGUUGGGGAUGGACUCGCGGCUUAUCAGCUUGUUGGUGGGGUAGUGGCUUACCAAGGCUUUGACGGGUAGCCGGCCUGAGAGGGUGACCGGCCACAUUGGGACUGAGAUACGGCCCAGACUCCUACGGGAGGCAGCAGUGGGGAAUAUUGCACAAUGGGCGGAAGCCUGAUGCAGCAACGCCGCGUGCGGGAUGACGGCCUUCGGGUUGUAAACCGCUUUCGCCUGUGACGAAGCGUGAGUGACGGUAAUGGGUAAAGAAGCACCGGCUAACUACGUG
rnacentral:rRNA from 1 species